GGUCUCUUGGCCGAGCGGCUAGGCACCGGUCUGCAAAACCGUCCACUCCGGUUCGAAUCCGGAAGAGACCUCUA
rnacentral:tRNA from 1 species